rnacentral:rRNA from 1 species
UACGUAGGGUGCGAGCGUUAAUCGGAAUUACUGGGCGUAAAGCGUGCGCAGGCGGCGCGUUAAGACAGGUGUGAAAUCCCCGGGCUCAACCCGGGAACUGCGUCCGAUACUGGCAGGCUUGAAUCCGGGAGAGGGAUGCGGAAUUCCAGGUGUAGCGGUGAAAUGCGUAGAUAUCUGGAGGAACACCGGUGGCGAAGGCGGCAUCCUGGACCGGCAUUGACGCUGAGGCGCGAAAGCCAGGGGAGCAAACGGG